rnacentral:tRNA from 1 species
GGCCUCAUCGUCUAGUGGUUAGGACACAAGGUUCUCAUCCUUGAAACCGGGGUUCGAUUCCCCGUGGGGCUGCCA